rnacentral:piRNA from 1 species
UAAAAGGUCUACUUUGGAGUAAUCUAUGU